AUGUUAUGGUUCCGAUUACCCGACGGACCCCUGAAUUCUGGUAGCCGAACCUAUUUUUUUUAAGCAGACUGAAUACAAUAAGCUUUCAGAUACCAUUGUUUUUCGCCCAGUGUAUCAGCCCAG